rnacentral:rRNA from 1 species
AAACCAAUAAAGUUUUCUUUAUUGGGGUUGCGGACAUAUCAUAACGAAGAGGUAUCGUAAUUGAAGAGGUUUGGAAAGACCCACCACAGAAGGUAAUAGUCCUGUAUGUUAAACGAGAAGACUUUAGGUAUGAUCCAGAGUACCACGGGACACGUGAAACCCUGUGGGAAGCAGGAGGGACCACCCUCCAAGGCUAAAUACUACCUAGUGACCGAU